rnacentral:rRNA from 1 species
GACGAACGCUGGCGGCGUGCUUAACACAUGCAAGUCGAACGGAAAGGCCCUGCUUGCAGGGUACUCGAGUGGCGAACGGGUGAGCAACACGUGGGUGAUCUGCCCUGCACUUCGGGAUAAGCCUGGGAAACUGGGUCUAAUACCGGAUAGGAGCCAUUUUUAGUGUGAUGGUUGGAAAGUUUUUUCGGUGUAGGAUGAGCUCGCGGCCUAUCAGCUUGUUGGUGGGGUAAUGGCCUACCAAGGCGGCGACGGGUAGCCGGCCUGAGAGGGUGGACGGCCACAUUGGGACUGAGAUACGGCCCAGACUCCUACAGGAGGCAGCAGUGGGGAAUAUUGCACAAUGGGCGCAAGCCUGAUGCAGCGACGCCGCGUGGGGGAUGACGGCCUUCGGGUUGUAAACUCCUUUCGCUAGGGACGAAGCUUUUUGUGACGGUACCUAGAGAAGAAGCACCGGCUAACUACGUG